rnacentral:lncRNA from 1 species
AAAGGAAAGAACCUGCAGGUGCUGCCCCUCAGAGGCCAGCGUCCUUCCCACAGGAAGCAGGUGCGAGCUGAAGACGCGGCAGGGACAGAGCAGGUGUGCAGGUGUCUCAUCUGCCUGGAUGGGUCGAGGUCUUCUGUUGGCUUUGUGCUUCCCUCAGAAGCACACCCCUCUCUAGUGACUCUCCUCUUAGUGAAAUGUACACUGGUUGCCUCCUCUACUCCGUAUCCGACCAUCUCCCUUUUUGGGAAGUUGGGUGCACCACUCACCAGAGUUGUGAGCCCCUUUGAGAGUGGUCACAUCAUGUGCUGACUCUUGGCUGACCUUGAAGGCAAAGGUCAAAACACUGCCUUUGCUCCAUAGCCCAGUGACCCUCCCAAGCUUUGGUCUCUAAGCCUCAGUUGCUAAAUACCCUGAAAGUCGGUUCCACCAUGCUUGAACCGGGAGUAUCAGACUUUAGUCGUAAAUAUUCUCAUCUUUAAAAAAAAUCAUAUACUUUGAAAUGACUAGAGAACAGCUACC